CGGCAUCGCCAGAGAAUUCUACUGCCUCAGUCAUGCUGAUUGUCAGGGCCAAGCAGAGCCUCGACCAGUGUGUCUGGAUCGGGAGGGACUACUGGAUGUCCUAGCCCAGUUGAGACGAACACCGGCCGGUUUAGACCCCAUCCUCCAGCGGACUGUGCAAUGGGGGGUGGCCUUCCACCAUGCUGGUUUGACGUUUGAUGAGCGUGAUGUGUUGGAGGGAGCUUUUCGUCAGGGCGUGGUGAGAGUCUUGGCCGCCACC